UUAGCCUUAAACCUAAAUAAUUUUACAUACAAAAAUAUUUGCCAGAGAACUACUAGCAACAGCUUAAAACUCAAAGGACUUGGCGGUGCUUUACAUCCCU
rnacentral:rRNA from 1 species